GCCUGUGUAGCUCAGCUGGUAGAGCACUUCGUUGGUAACGAAGAGGUCCUGAGUUCAAAUCUCAGCGCAGGCU
rnacentral:tRNA from 1 species